AACGAACGCUGGCGGCGUGCCUGAGACAUGCAAGUCGUGGGAGAAAGUCGGAGCAAUCCGGCUAGUAAACCGGCGCACGGGUGAGUAACACGUGGACAACCUGCCUUGGAGUUCGGGAUAACCCGUCGAAAGACGGACUAAUACCGGAUAUGACCACGGGGAGUUCGCUCUCUGAGGUAAAAGAUGGCCUCUGCUCCUGCAAGCUAUCUCUUCGAGAGGGGUCCGCGUCCUACAGCUAGUUGGUGAGGUAACGGCUCACCAAGGCUAAGACGGGUAGCUGGUCUGAGAGGAUGGUCAGCCACACUGGGACUGAGACACGGCCCAGAGUCCUACGGGAUGCAGCAGUCAGGAAUAUUGCGCAAUGGAGGAAACUCUGACGCAGCGACGCCGCGUGGGUGAUGAAGGCCUUC
rnacentral:rRNA from 1 species